ACCAGACCAGAAAAAAAAACACCAGACCCUUCGACCCCGACCUGUUCGAUCCCCAAUCUAACCUCUCUCUCUCUCUCUCCAUCUCACCACCCACACACCCUAACCCUAACCCGACCGCGCCGCCGCUCCCAACCUGCGCGCCUCCGCCCCAAACCACCCGCCGGUCCCCCGCGCCACCACAUCUCGGACCCCGGCCUCCCUUCCCUUAGUCCGCAGUAGCAACAGCGCCGUCUGCGACGGAGCAGCGCCGUCCGCCGCCGAGGAACAGCAGCGCUGUCCGCCACCAAGGAUCCGCCGCGCGCCGGGAACAGCAGCACCAUACGCCGGAGGAUCCGCCGCACCGACUGCUGUUGAGGAGGAGCCCGCCGUUCUUCUUCCUCCACCGGCGACCCCUGCCCCGGCCCCGCCUCUAGAUUUCAACAAUCGGGUGGUUCCAGGUCUAGGUCAUGGCAUCAGUGCUGUGGCGUUGUUCUGUUUUCUCAAUGAAUAGCAGUCGCUUGUUGGAUGGGAAUUGCUACUGUAAGUCAUCUCAGCGAGCAGUAUUGACCCCCUAAAGAAAGGAGUAUCGACACAAUACACAAAAUUAUUAGGCUGCAGAUAGUAUGGGGUACAUUAGUACAUGGACAUAAAAAAGUAAAGGAUAUUCAUGAUAGUGUUUGCUUGUCUUUGUCAGGUUUUUUAAUUUUCUUUUUGAGUGGCUUCACACACAUGUGCAUUUCCGCCGUAUUGUAUCGCCACAGAGACAAUACUUGCAGGGGUUGUGAAAAAUAACUUGAAGCAUGCCCAUUAGUUAGUAGAGCAUAUAUUUGCGUUGCAGCGAUGACUUUAUUAGUGUGUGUGUGUUCACUUCUAGGUCACUGCAUCAUGUCAAAAAAACUGGCAGUGCUACAAUUUCUCAAAAGAAAAGGAAGUUCAUGUGAAGAACCAUGGCGACACAUGUGAGAAAAAUAUAUUUGAGUCAAUAUAUAUACACAUAUAAAUGGAUUGAACUAUUUGUUCUUUUCUGUGAGGGAAAGACAGUUAAUUAGUUGUUAGUUUGAAAAACUGUAAAAAAGAUAGUCUGCAGUAAAUGUGUAUAAAAAAUAUAGGUCAGUGAUAUACUGUGAUAAUUCCUCCUUGUUUUUUGUCUGCAACAGUUGAUUAAAUUUUUUGAGGGGGGUUCAAAAAAACACUUCAUGAGCUUCUUUUUGAAUGGCUGAAUAGAUUAGUUAUGUUUUAAUCCGAAGUCCGGCAAGUGUGCUUCACGUGUUAGAUUUUCCUGCGAUUCAAAAUCCUGCCCACCUAUUCUGAACCCAAAUCUUUAUUAUCACUCGUCAAGCCUAUGAAGGCCCAGUGGCUUUGAUGCACGCCCAUUACUCAAUAAGUAAUAGUUCCAGUAAGCUCACAGUACUACUUCCACAACCGCGAAUGGUAAAUUUUAAAAGUGCAAAUGAAAGCAUAGAAAUUAACACAGAUUGCUAUUUUAGGUCUUCAAUGAUUUCCGAAUAGAUUGAAAGUCCAAGCCUUGAUGAAUUGACAGACCACACAUGUUUUGUGAAGUAUUUUAAACGAAAUUGCAAUUGAAAUCUAGAUGCAGCUACUGUAGAUAUAUUUGUUGCUAUUAGUACACAUUUUUCCCCUAUCCAAGGUCUUCUACUAUUUCAAUACCCAUCAUAUGUGAAAAUCUGUGGCGAUAAAAGAAACACAUCUACAGUCUGUAAUUUGUUCCUGAAAGUGAAACUUAACAAUGUCAGUGAGUGGUGAAAUGUACACUCUUGUUUGAUCUAAUUUCUGGAUUCCCUUUCCUUGUACUUCUAAGAAAAUAAUUAAGUCUUGCAUUAGGUAUAGAACACAAAGACAACAUUAGUUGCAUCUUUUAUUGAGGAAGAAACUCAUUCGAUCUAUCUAGGUUGAACAAGUUUAUGUCUAAACUGUCAUAUUUAUUCACAGAUUUUGUCUACUUGCUUCAAAACAGAAAUGUGGCUUUUGCUUGCUGGUAAUUUGGGUUAUGGUGUGGCUGCCUAUUACUCAAGAUGAACUCAUAUCAUAUCAUCAAUUUCAGGAACAUUAUCUCAGCUGUUGUUGAUUUCAGAACAGAUCAUUGGCAUUGUACCUUCAAGGGACUAUCCUUUUGCCUACUGAGCACACAAAACAAAUGUGUCUAUAUAUUUAUUUAAGUGAAACAACAUGCUUCCAUUUUUGGUCAAUCGGUGGAUCUGACUAAUACAUAACUACAUAUAUAUGUGUGAGGUAUUAUUCAUGUGUCAUUUUUCGUAAUUCAAGUAAGCUGAAACUGAUGGUCUCAGAUGGUUUGUGUAUUAACUUUGAUCAGAACCUGCAUCUACAAAUACUGAGUAGAGGGUUGCCUUUUGUGCAGGAAUUUGCAGCAGGAUCCCUUGCCUGUGCUCUCCGCUUGUCCUCACUCCUUAGACCUUCCCUUUGCUUAUCACCAUACAUUUUAUUCAGAGUGGUGUCAAGAUGCAUCUCCUCUGCCAAGAUGAUGGGCAGAGGGCCUAAGCUCUAGGGUCAAAUGGCGGGAAGUAUCAAGUCAAAGAUAUUAUGGCUUUUGUACAUCUUCUAUUUUCUUUAAAUGGAAGUUGGUGUUGGUUUGGUGAUCGAAGACUUGGGCUCUUCCAUAGUGUUUUGUAGAGUGAUCGAACACUUAAGUCUCUUAUGAACUAGGACCAUAAUUUGUAACAUGCCACAACUUGUAUGUUGAGUUGAGUAUUUGUUUCAAUGGUUGUAACAAGGAAAACUGAUCUUCUAUAUAUGUUGAAUAAAUGCUUUGGUCAAUGGCAUUUUGUGAUGAAUAGAAGAGUGUAAUUGUUGGUAUA